GUAUAAUUAUGGCUUAAAACCCCGCAAACAUGGAAAGGUGAUACCGCUGUUCUGGACUUGAAGACGCUAGGGAUCACGUGAGAAAACCACACACGAAAAAUGUUCGCAUAAGAUAUGGCAAAAAUGUAAAGGUAAUGUCGCUGUUGUGGACUUGAAGCAUUGAAGAUGCUAGGGAUCACCAGAUCUCCAGAUCCAGUGAGAAAACCACACACGAAAAAAUUUCGCAUAAGAGACAAGUAAGGUUGUCUGAACCUAAUUAUUCGUCUAUUAAUGUAAAACUAUUAUCUGUAUUUUUUCAUUUUUACCAGUUUAAUUUUGGUUGCUUUCUAUUUUGCGAUAAGCAUGUUUUCUUGGAUCGAAGGAAAGCAACAAAAGUAAAAUUAAAGUAAUGUAUCAAUGCAAAUUGCUAUACCUAACCGUAUUUCUACACAAUAGAAUAAUCUGUGGAUGAACGAAAAUACUCUUCUAUCAAUGUAAAACUAUUAACCGUAUUUUGUUGUUGUGACCAAUAUUAAAAUUUGUAAUUGCUUAUAGAAUUUUUGUUAAGAGCACAUUGCGAAACACUUUAAUUGACCGAGAACGAAAUGAAAGGGCAAACGCCACAGAGCGGGAACAUGUAAGGAAUAUAAAAUAAUAAGUGCAGUUUUUUAGAUAAAUGUUUGUGUUCUAUCUCACAGUCUGCAUACAGAUGAAGAAAUUCGGCUGUGCAUAGAUGGAUCUGGUUAUUUUGACGUGCGGGCUCCAAAUGAUUAAUGGAUCAGAGUUAGGGUUACUCCUGGAGAUUUACUUAUUGUACCAGCAGGAAUUUACCACCGAUUUACUUCGGAUACCAAGAACUUUAUUGUUGCCAAACGAUUCUUUGUUGGAGAGCCGGUUUGGACUCCUCAUAACCGACCCGCAGACGAUAUGGAUGCUGGAAAAAAAUAUGUUGAUAAACUAACCGAGGGUAAAUUCGUCCAAAUUCGCUGAUACUUACUAUUUUAUAGAUUAAAUUUUUCAAUUAUGUCUAUUUAAUAUUAACAGCGUUUUUCUUCAAACUUUACUUAUUAGAUACAUGGUAAAUAUUACAAGCAGUUAGCAACGAUUCGUGCUAACGCUGUGAUUCUGGUGUUAAAAAAUGCUGCUGUGCGAAAUGUGACCUUAAACGUAAAUGCAUGUGCCCGUUUUGAGAAGAUGUAAAUGUUUUUUGACUAUUGCAAUAUAAUUUAUAAUACCCAGCAGCAGUGGCAGCUUUUGUCAAUUUAUGGUCAACGCUAUGAGUAUAUUCGAUUAUUGAAUACGUUUUCAACUAUACAUAUUUUUCAUUUGGUCUAAUCUAUAAUACUGAUAAGAGAAACACUUUGUUCAUCAAACCUUGCGAAAGUUGACUUUCCAUUACUUAAUAAAACGCUUUAUGUAAAGCUAAUA